ensembl:rRNA 5S_rRNA 5S ribosomal RNA
GAUCAUAAGCCAUUCUCCUAACCCUAAGAAUGAUCUCAAAAGCAGGGGCAGGUCUGAUCUGUACUUGAAUGGGAGACUGCCUGGGAAUACCAGGUGUUGUGAGUU